CUGAGUCCCAGUGGUCAGAGCAUG
rnacentral:misc_RNA from 1 species